CAGGGCUGGAAUGGUCUCCUACUUUGUCAAGGAAGGGAGUUUCCCCACCAACAUCACUUCACUUGAAAUCGGGAAAUUGAGAGUGGACGACGUCGGUCAACUUCCACUUCCACUUCCACUUCCGCCUCCAUCUCCAUCAGAGUGGGGUUUGCACAAACUCUCUUCUCUUACAACACUCCAUCUUUAUGGCCGAGAUUGGCUGUAGGGAGAUACGGUGUCCUUUCCAGAAGAAGGGAUGUUCCUGCCCACCUCUCUCAUCAAAUUGACCAUCAGAGCAUUCCCAAAUCUGGAAAGACUCUCUUAUGAGGAGUUUCAAAACCUCGCCUCUCUCCAAUCACUUGAAAUCUGGCAUUGCCCUAGGUUCGCGUCCUUUCCAAAGGAAGGGUUGCCUCCCUCUCUUUUGCAUCUAUCGAUCUGGGAUUCCCCUGAGCUUGCGACCUUUCCAGAACAAGGAUUCCCUCCCUCGCUUUUGUCACUGGUGAUCGCACCACGUAAUCUAAUACUGAAGCAGAAGUGUGAAAAGGGAAAAGAAUAUUGGCCCAUCAUCCAAUACAUUCCUUACGUAUAUAUAAGGUAGCUUUUGAGGAUGCUUGAGACUCUCCACAACAAUAUUGAGGUUUGUUAUGGGAAAACUUUAAAAAAAAAAAAAUGGAAGUGCAGGCUGAAAUAUCCAUGCACAUCUGAGAGUUCCCUCCUCAUCAAAGGCAAUAGAUUCUAUGUGCAAUCUGUAAGAAAGGAUUUGAAGUGAUUUGAAUGUCUGGUGUGCGAUGAUUUGGAAAGUUAGAUGGAUUCCAUGCUGAUGCUAAAGUUUGCUCCCUUAUUGAUGAAAGCACUGAUGUCUGGAAUGCAAUGAAGCUCUCAUCACAUAGUGCUUUUUGGAUUUUGAAGCUGAGUUGACAUGUAAAAUCCCUUUUUCCCCAUGGCUUGUUAAUGACAAAUUGGUUUGGCACUUUACUAAAAAUGGCCUUCUUUUUUCUGUUAAUCGGCAUAUCAUUUGGAGAUGGAUUUGCAAAGAAGAGAAACAUGGGUCAGUUCUUCAGAUGGGGCGAGUUUUGAAAGGGCAUUUUGGAAGAAGAUUUGGCUGCUGAAAGUUCUGAAUUAAGUGAAAAUCUUUGAAUGAAAAUCUGUUCGAAUAUCCUCCCUGUUUAGUGAAACUUGAAUAGAGUUGCCUCUAAACAAGAUACAUCUCCAUUACUUAGUGGUGGACAUUGAUCACAUCGACGACUACGAUUGGGGUGGCGCUGCUCUAGUCACCCUCUAUAGAGACGCUAGUGUUGUCAUGUGCAACUGAGAGAUGACCAUUGAAGGCCAUUAGAAACGAUGGAAGAUAUAGAGCUUUGAGUAUUUCAGGGGCGAAUGCCCCUGACACUCAGGAGAUGGACUAGCACGUUGUCCUUUGGUCCCGACAAUACUUCUGUUAGCAUUGCCGCCAGGCCCCAAGGUUGUCGAGCUUUUACAAGUUUAGAUAGUAUUACAACAUAGUGACCCUCAAUCAGACAAUUGGGUUGAUCCCUCUUCAAUCAUGUGUGGCAUCGAAUACCGUGAUGUGCUUCAUCGCAGUGCUCGACAUCACUCUGGUGAGUUGGAGAGGAUUUUGCUAGAGGGCCCGUUCUAUUGAGUUUGGUAUUCGGCAAGCGGGGAUGCUGCUAGUCUAUGGGGAUGGCCGCCCCCAGAGUGCCUGCCGUGGUACCAGAUUGCAUGCGGACUACUAACACCUUCACUCCAGAGGAUAUCAUACCAACCAUAGAGGUCAUCAAUGUAGAGUUCUUCUAUGGUGUGGCAUAUAAUUCCUUCAUGACCACAACUUCCUGACUAAGUGAAGGCAGAGAAGAAUAUAUGGCACAAUACAAUCCAUCCGUCCCCAAUAUUGUGAUCAAUUCAUUGCACAUGCACCUUGUGUGAGAUAAGAGUGUGUUUGUGUGUGACUACUUUCUUUUUUUUAUGAAAAAUGCUAAGAGCCCACCCUUACGGACCCCCGAAUUUACCUCGAAUGUGUUUGUGUAGUAGAGAUUGAAUUGAUAAAGUGUGGGUCUACAUAUGAAAUGAAUAUAAACCAUUGAUUUCUUUUCUAGUAAAUUCUAGGUAGAUAAGGGUGAGUUUGUAAUAUU